rnacentral:rRNA from 1 species
GGCUUAACUAACAUAGCAAGUACGAACGGAAACAACCCUUACGUAAGGAAGUUUUACGGUUACGAACUGAGAGGAGUGUUUAGUUGGCGGACGGUCGGAGUAACGCGUGAGUAACCUAGCUUCGGUAGUGGGAGUAACACAGAGAAAUUUGUGCUAAUACCGCAUAAUGCAGCUGAGUCGCAUGGCUCUGGCUGCCAAAGAUUUAUCGCUCUGAGAUGGACUCGCGUCUGAUUAGCUAGUUGCGGGGUAACGGCCCACCAAGGCGACGAUCAGUAGCCGGACUGAGAGGUUGGCCGGCCACAUUGGGACUGAGACACGGCCCAGACUCCUACGGGAGGCAGCAGUGGGGAAUAUUGGGCAAUGGGCGCAAGUCUGACCCAGCAACGCCGCGUGAAGGAAGAAGGCUUUCGGGUUGUAAACUUCUUUUCUCAGGGACGAAGCAAGUGACGGUACCUGAGGAAUAAGCCACGGCUAACUACGUG